GGGUUUCGUGUUGCUUAUUCCUUGGUUUUCUAUGUUGUGUCAUGUGUUCUACUGUUUGUCUGUUUGUCUUCUUUCAUUUUUAGCAAAGCGUUGUCAGUUUAUUUUUGAUUUAUGAGUUUGACUGUCCCUCUGAUAUCUUUCAUCCCUCUUUUCUUUUGAAAACCAUUAAAGAUUUUGAAAACCGUUACAGACUUCUUUUUUUUGUUACUGAUUUGCCCUUUUCUUACAAUACCUGAAAGCUUGGGCUAAAAAGUUUGGUAUUUGCUUUCCAAUCUACUUUAUGUUUGUAAUUAAU
rnacentral:lncRNA from 1 species